rnacentral:rRNA from 1 species
AUCUCUGUAGAGUCUGCAUAUCAAUAAGCGGAGGAAAAGAAACUAACUAGGAUUCCCUCAGUAACGGCGAGUGAAGCGGGAAGAGCUCAAAUUUGAAAUCUUCAAGGUUUUACCUUGACGAAUUGUAAUUUAAAGAAGUGUUUUCUGUUGGAGUUUUGGUAAAAGUUCUUUGGAAUAGGACAUCAUAGAGGGUGAGAAUCCCGUAUUUGACCAUUAUUUCCAGCUUUGUGAUACACUUUCAAAGAGUCGGAUUGCUUGGGAAUGCAGUCCAAAAUGGGUGGUAAAUUUCAUCUAAAGCUAAAUAUUGGCGAGAGACCGAUAGCGAACAAGUACCGUGAGGGAAAGAUGAAAAGAACUUUGAAAAGAGAGUUAAACAGUACGUGAAAUUGUCAAAAGGGAAGCGUUUGGACACCAGUGUUGUUUCUAGCGAAAAUCAAUUUAUGAUGGCUUGAUGCUAAGCUUUAAGACUUUAUCCGCUUGUUGUUUAGUUUUCUUGUCUUUGUGAAUGCACUUUUCGUGGAACAAGUCAACAUCAAUUUCUUUUGCUGUAAAAGGGUAAGAGGAAGGUGGCUUCGGCUUCGGUUGAAGUGUUUAUAGCCUUUUAUCUCUGCAGUCGGAGAGAUUGAGGUCUGCAGCGUAGACUCUUCGGGGUUAGAUACGUCGGUGCUAAGCUGUAGCUUUUCAUAGACAACUUGUUGACUAUGUUUAGUCAUGUGGCUUACCCGCUGGCGCUAUUUUACCUACGCUUAGGAUGUUGAGUCAUCACACAUCUCU